rnacentral:rRNA from 1 species
GAUGAACGCUGGCGGCGUGCCUAAUACAUGCAAGUCGAGCGAACAGACGAGGAGCUUGCUCCUCUGACGUUAGCGGCGGACGGGUGAGUAACACGUGGAUAACCUACCUAUAAGACUGGGAUAACUUCGGGAAACCGGAGCUAAUACCGGAUAAUAUAUUGAACCGCAUGGUUCAAUAGUUAAAGACGGUUUUGCUGUCACUUAUAGAUGGAUCCGCGCCGCAUUAGCUAGGUGGUAAGGUAACGGCUUACCAAGGCGACGAUGCGUAGCCGACCUGAGAGGGUGAUCGGCCACACGGGAAGUGAGACACGGUCCAGACACCUACGGGAGGCAGCAGUAGGGAAUCUUCCGCAAAGGGCGAAAGCCUGACGGAGCAACGCCGCGUGAGUGAUGAAGGUCUUCGGAUCGUAAAACUCUGUUAUUAGGGAAGAACAAAUGUGUAAGUAACUAUGCACGUCUUGACGGUACCUAAUCAGAAAGCCACGGCUAACUACGUG